GAUGAACGCUGGCGGCGUGGAUAAGGCAUGCAAGUCGUACGGGUCACCUUCGGGUGACUAGUGGCGAACGGGUUAGUAACACGUGGGUAAUGAACUCUAGAGAUGGGCAUAAUCCGUCGAAAGGCGGACUAACUCCCAAAGUCCCCUCACCAUAAUUUGGUGGGAGGUAAAGGAGAAAUCCGCUCUGGAAUCGGCCCGCGGCUUAUCAGCUAGUUGGUAGGGUAAUGGCCUACCAAGGCGAUGACGGGUAGGGGAUGUGAGAGCAUGUUCCCCAACACUAGCACUGCGACACGGGCUAGACUCCUACGGGAGGCAGCAGUCGAGAAUAUUGGACAAUGGGGGAAACCCUGAUCCAGCGACGCCGCGUGCUCGAAGAAGCCCUUCGGGGUGUAAAGAGCUUUUCUGGAGGAAGAAGUUUCGACUGACAGUACUUCAGGAAUAAGGGGGUGCUAAUCACGUGCCAGCAGCCGCGGUAAUACGUGACCCCCAAGCGUUAUCCGGAUUUAUUGGGCGUAAAGCGUCUGUAGGCGAUCUGGAAAGUCUCUGGUUAAAUACCAAGAGCUUAACUUUUGGGCUGCCAGAGAUACUUUCAGAAUAGAGGGCGUUAGAGGCUGAUGGAACGGUCGGUGUAGAGGUGAAAUUCGUUGAUAUCGACCGGAACACCAAAAGCGAAGGCAUUCAGCUGGGGCGACCCUGACGUUGAGAGACGAAAGCGUGGGGAGCAAAAAGGAUUAGAUACCCUUGUAGUCCACGCUGUAAACGAUGGACACUGGCUAUUUGAAGUGUCGACCCUUCAAGUGGCGAAGCUAACGCGUUAAGUGUCCCGCCUGGGAAGACGGCGGCAACGCU
rnacentral:rRNA from 1 species